rnacentral:rRNA from 1 species
UUAUUGGGCGUAAAGGGCUCGUAGGCGGUUCGUCGCGUCCGGUGUGAAAGUCCAUCGCUUAACGGUGGAUCCGCGCCGGGUACGGGCGGGCUUGAGUGCGGUAGGGGAGACUGGAAUUCCCGGUGUAACGGUGGAAUGUGUAGAUAUCGGGAAGAACACCAAUGGCGAAGGCAGGUCUCUGGGCCGUCACUGACGCUGAGGAGCGAAAGCGUGGGGAGCGAACAGGAUUAGAUACCCUGGUAGUCCACGCCGUAAACGGUGGAUGCUGGAUGUGGGGCCCUUUCCACGGGUCCCGUGUCGGAGCCAACGCGUUAAGCAUCCCGCCUGGGGAGUACGGCCGCAAGGCUAAAACUCAAAGAAAUUGACGGGGGCCCGCACAAGCGGCGGAGCAUGCGGAUUAAUUCGAUGCAACGCGAAGAACCUUACCUGGGCUUGACAUGUUCCCGACAGCCCCAGAGAUGGGGCUUCCCUUCGGGGCGGGUUCACAGGUGGUGCAUGGUCGUCGUCAGCUCGUGUCGUGAGAUGUUGGGUUAAGUCCCGCAACGAGCGCAACCCUCGCCCUGUGUUGCCAGCACGUCGUGGUGGGAACUCACGGGGGACCGCCGGGGUCAACUCGGAGGAAGGUGGGGAUGACGUCAGAUCAUCAUGCCCCUUACGUCCAGGGCUUCACGCAUGCUACAAUGGCCGGUACAACGGGAUGCGACACGGCGACGCGGAGCGGAUCCCUGAAAACCGGUCUCAGUUCGGAUCGCAGUCUGCAACUCGACUGCGUGAAGGCGGAGUCGCUAGUAAUCGCGGAUCAGCAACGCCGCGGUGAAUGCGUUCCCGGGCCUUGUACACACCGCCCGUCAAGUCAUGAAAGUGGGUAGCACCCGAAGCCGGUGGCCCGACCCUUGUGGGGGGAGCCGUCUAAGGUGAGACUCGUGAUUGGGACUAAGUCGUAACAAGGUAGCCGUACCGGAAGGUGCGGCUG